GAUGAACGCUGGCGGCGUGCCUAAUACAUGCAAGUCGAGCGAACAGACGAGGAGCUUGCUCCUCUGACGUUAGCGGCGGACGGGUGAGUAACACGUGGAUAACCUACCUAUAAGACUGGGAUAACUUCGGGAAACCGGAGCUAAUACCGGAUAAUAUAUUGAACCGCAUGGUUCAAUAGUGAAAGACGGUUUUGCUGUCACUUAUAGAUGGAUCCGCGCCGCAUUAGCUAGUUGGUAAGGUAACGGCUUACCAAGGCAACGAUGCGUAGCCGACCUGAGAGGGUGAUCGGCCACACUGAAACUGAGACACGGUCCAGACUCCUACGGGAGGCAGCAGUAGGGAAUCUGCCGCAAUGGGCGAAAGCCUGACGGAGCAACGCCGCGUGAGUGAUGAAGGUCUUCGGAUCGUAAAACUCUGUUAUUAGGGAAGAACAAAUGUGUAAGUAACUAUGCACGUCGUGACGGUACCUAAUCAGAAAGCCACGGCUAACGACG
rnacentral:rRNA from 1 species